GCUUGUCUCAAAGAUUAAGCCAUGCAUGUCUAAGUAUAAGCGACUAUACUGUGAAACUGCGAAUGGCUCAUUAAAUCAGUUAUGGUUUAUUUGAUGGUACCUACUACUUGGAUAACCGUAGUAAUUCUAGAGCUAAUACAUGCAGGAAGACCCGACUCACGAAGGGUUGUAUUUAUUAGAUAACAGACCAAUAUUCCUCGUGUCUAUUGUGGUGACUCAUAGUAACUGAUCGGAUCGCACGGGCUUGCCCGCGACAAACCAUUCAAGUUUCUGCCCCAUCAGCUUUCGAUGGUAGUGUAUUGGACUACCAUGGCUUUUACGGGUAACGGAGGAUUAGGGUUCGAUUCCGGAGAGGGAGCCUGAGAAACGGCUACCACAUCUAAGGAAGGCAGCAGG
rnacentral:rRNA from 1 species